GUUCUUAAUUUCAAAGAUGAGGAAACUGAAAAUUGACAAGACUUCCUCAUCUUAUGACUAUUCGUCUUCCACCGUAAGAGCUACAGUGCUGUGACAGAGGCAUGUGACCUAGCCGCAGCCUGGACCGCAACAAUUAUACAAACUCCCAAUAUCCUUUUAACAAAUUCAUUGUCUGUUUAAUCAGCCAAAGUCUUCUUUUGUUGUUUGUAACCAAGAACACUGAGUAGUACAAACAAUAUCCAACGUGCUAGUGAAGACUUUGAAGGACGCCAUGACACUUCACAAGGAACCCGAUUUACUGCAACCCAUGGCUCAGAUUCUCCGAGAAUGGACUACAACUUUGCUUGUCCUAAUGGAUUUCUGCCACUCAUCCAGGGAUUUUCCUUUGAAAUAAUUUAACUAUGCUUUUGGAAAUUGCCAGUUUAAUUCCUACUUUAUUUUUGUUUUGAUAUCAAGUCACUUUUCCCCAUUUACAUGACUAAGUGUUCAAUGAGUUAUAAACAAAAUAAAAAUUGAUGUCAAUUUUGAUACAUUUGCAUAAGAAAUUAGUGUAAUGGUUUUAAAUUGCAUUCCAGUGAAAUAAAUUCAUAGUCACGGUAAUUCAGAAAAAAAUCUGCAUAUUUUUUCUUUAAUGAAAUAUGGAAUUUUUCACUUAGAAGAUUAAAAUUCAACUCCUUAUGCUCUUAGGCAAGCCUCGAAAGUAGUUUGGAACAAGAGCAACAGAAACAACAAGAAAAAGUCAAAGUAUAAACAUAUCCUUAGCCUAAAUGAUUUAUUUGGGGCUGGACACAGUGACUCACGCUUAUAAUCCCACACUUUGGGAGGCUGAGGCAGGAGGGUUGCUUGAGCCCAGGAGUUCAAGACCAGCCUGGGCCUCAUAGUGACACCUCAUAACGAGUCCUCAUCUCUACAUCUACCCCCUUUCUCCAAAAAAAUUUUAAAAACACCUGGGCAUGGUGGUACGCACCUGUGGUUCCAGCUACUCAAGAGACUGAGAUGGGAAGAUUGCUUGAGCCCAGGAAUUUGAGAUUUCAGUGACCUAUGAUUCCAACACUACACUUCAGCUUGGACAAUAAAGUGAGACUCCCUCUCUUAAAAAAAAAAGGUCCUUUAAACCAUGACAUCUUGGUGAAUCAUGAUUCUUCCCCAAUAUCUUCAAAGGAAACUUUCACCAGAAAUACUAUUUAAUUUGUACCAAUUUUAAAUUCAUAGAAUACAGAUAGUACACUAGGGAAAUUAUAGUUAACAAUAAUUUGUUUAUUUCAAAAUAGCUAGAAAAGAAGAAUUUUAAUGUUUCCAACACAAAGAAAAGGCAACUGUUUUAGUUGAUGGAUGUCCCAAUUACUCUGAUUUGAUCAUUUCACAUUGUAUCUAGGUAUCAAAAUAUUACAUAUACCCCCAAAUAUGUAUGACCAUUAUAUAGCAAUAAAAACAUGUAUACUUUUAUAGAAUACAUAUUCUGGAACUUUCUUUGUAAGCUGUGACUAG
rnacentral:lncRNA from 1 species